CCGUAGCUCAGUUGGAAGAGCGCCAGUUUGUGGCACUGGUGGUCGCAGGUUCGAAUCCUGUUGG
rnacentral:tRNA from 1 species